GGGCCAUAGUUGUGAUCAAGGGAUAAGAACUAAGUUCCAAACAAGAGACAGUUUUUAUAUAAUCAAUGGCUGGUCUCUCUUCCUUCGUCCGCUUUCUCAUUCUGCUUAUGUUCAUUGCAUCCAUCUUGCUCAUGCAUCCAUCUCAGAUUCAUGCAGAUUUGAAGGUGAGCAAAUUUGGCCGGAAAACCAGACCAAGCCCACCCCCUCCUCCAGCAGGUAACUUUCGGAAGCAACAAAGCCCACCACCUCCUCCAAUGGGUGCACCUCUAAUCUAAGACCUGCAGUCUGAUCGAUUUUUCAACCACCUUCCUACUUUCAAUGAAUCUUUUUUUAAAGGAAAUUAAGCCCUUAAGGUAGGCAUCUCCUUUAAAUAUUUGUCCAAUUAAACCCUCUGCAAAAAUCAGCAAAUAGUUUUUCAGUUGUGUGAUUUGUAUUUUGGCCAGAUUGCUAAAAGUGUUUGGGGUUUUAGGAUUCUCUGCAAUUUGGGUUCAUCUAUUCUAUAGUAAUUGGUUAUAACUUGUAUUUUAAGUAUUGACCCUGUGGCUACUUUACUGUCUGGGAAACUCACACACGGGGUAUCAUGGGAUUUGAAACCAAGAACACUUGGAGCAUA